rnacentral:lncRNA from 1 species
CUCUGUGUUCAUAUUAUCAGUUUUGGGGUACCCUCUGUGAAAAAAAAAAAAAAAAACAGAAAUAAAAAAAAAAAAAAGAGGUGCGCCCUCUCCACCUUGCCUCUGUUCUUUCGAUUUUUCCUUGUUACCAGCAACUCUUGUUACGUGUUUGGCACUAUCUUUCAACUUUGCAUUAUUGUUUGAUUGUGCUAAUCCUUCAUUUGAGUGCAGCCUUCCCAGAACUCCAC